rnacentral:lncRNA from 1 species
AAGUCUAUUCAAACUGAUCAGAUUUCAUACAUCAUUAAUCUGAGAAAAGUCUAAAAGGUAUAUUUCAUAUCACUCCUAAUCAGCUAGUCAUGAUUUAAUCUUGUACGAAAGUUUUUACAUUUAUUUGUAAAUUUACUUGUUAAAAAAAAUCCCUGUGCAUAACACUACAUGACAUAAUCAUAGCAUAUUGAUUAGGGAAAUGUAUACUGUGAAAGUACUUUAAUUUGUGGGUAUCAAUUUUCGUGGUUUGAGCAACAUUUACAUGUUCAUGGGUUUUUAAAUUCAUGGAUUUAAG